rnacentral:rRNA from 1 species
GGUGCUGCAUGGUUGUCGUCAGCUCGUGCCGUGAGGUGUCGGCUUAAGUGCCAUAACGAGCGCAACCCUUAUCUUCAGUUACUAACAGGUGAUGCUGAGGACUCUGGAGAGACUGCCGUCGUAAGAUGUGAGGAAGGUGGGGAUGACGUCAAAUCAGCACGGCCCUUACGUCCGGGGCUACACACGUGUUACAAUGGGGGGUACAGAAGGCAGCUACCUGGUGACAGGAUGCCAAUCCCAAAAACCUCUCUCAGUUCGGAUCGAAGUCUGCAACCCGACUUCGUGAAGCUGGAUUCGCUAGUAAUCGCGCAUCAGCCAUGGCGCGGUGAAUACGUUCCCGGGCCUUGUACACACCGCCCGUCAAGCCAUGAAAGCCGGGGGUACCUGAAGUACGUAACCGCAAGGAGCGUCCUAGGGUAAAACUGGUAAUUGGGGCUAAGUCGUAACAAGGUAGCCGUACCGGAAGGUGCGGCUGGAUCACCUC